rnacentral:rRNA from 1 species
GAGUGGCGAACGGGUGAGUAAUAUAUCGGAACGUGCCCUAGAGUGGGGGAUAACUAGUCGAAAGACUAGCUAAUACCGCAUACGAUCUACGGAUGAAAGUGGGGGAUCGCAAGACCUCAUGCUCCUGGAGCGGCCGAUAUCUGAUUAGCUAGUUGGUGGGGUAAAAGCCUACCAAGGCAACGAUCAGUAGCUGGUCUGAGAGGACGACCAGCCACACUGGGACUGAGACACGGCCCAGACUCCUACGGGAGGCAGCAGUGGGGAAUUUUGGACAAUGGGGGCAACCCUGAUCCAGCAAUGCCGCGUGAGUGAAGAAGGCCUUCGGGUUGUAAAGCUCUUUUGUCAGGGAAGAAACGGUAGUAGCGAAUAACUAUUACUAAUGACGGUACCUGAAGAAUAAGCACCGGCUAACUACGUGCCAGCAGCCGCGGUAAUACGUAGGGUGCAAGCGUUAAUCGGAAUUACUGGGCGUAAAGCGUGCGCAGGCGGUUGUGUAAGUCAGAUGUGAAAUCCCCGGGCUCAACCUGGGAAUUGCAUUUGAGACUGCACGGCUAGAGUGUGUCAGAGGGGGGUAGAAUUCCACGUGUAGCAGUGAAAUGCGUAGAUAUGUGGAGGAAUACCGAUGGCGAAGGCAGCCCCCUGGGAUAACACUGACGCUCA